AACGAACGCUGGCGGCGCGCCUAACACAUGCAAGUCGAACGAGAAUCCGGGGGCAACCCGGUAGUAAAGUGGCAAACGGGUGAGGAAUACAUGGGUAACCUACCCUUGAGAAGGGAAUAACCCGCCGAAAGGUGAGCUAAUACCCUAUACGCUAUCUUUUUUUCGAAAAGGAUAGGAAAGCCGGGUCGAGGACCUGGUACUCAAGGAGGGGCUCAUGUCCUAUCAGCUUGUUGGUGGGGUAACGGCCUACCAAGGCUACGACGGGUAGCUGGUCUGAGAGGAUGAUCAGCCACACUGGCACUGAGAUACGGGCCAGACUCCUACGGGAGGCAGCAGUGAGGAAUAUUGCGCAAUGGGCGAAAGCCUGACGCAGCGACGCCGCGUGGGGGAUGAAGGUUUUCGGAUUGUAAACCCUUUCAUGAGGAAAGAUAAACUGGGUAGCCACUUAGACGGUACCUCAAGAAGAAGCCACGGCUAACUUCGUGCCAGCAGCCGCGGUAAUGUG
rnacentral:rRNA from 1 species